AUUGAACGCUGGCGGCAGGCCUAACACAUGCAAGUCGAACGGUAACAGGAAGAAGCUUGCUUCUUUGCUGACGAGUGGCGGACGGGUGAGUAAUGUCUGGGAAACUGCCUGAUGGAGGGGGAUAACUACUGGAAACGGUAGCUAAUACCGCAUAAUGUCGCAAGACCAAAGAGGGGGACCUUCGGGCCUCUUUCCAUCGGAUGUGCCCAGAUGGGAUUAGCUAGUAGGUGGGGUAACGGCUCACCUAGGCGACGAUCCCUAGCUGGUCUGAGAGGAUGACCCGCCACACUGGAACUGAGACACGGUCCAGACUCCUACGGGAGGCAGCAGUGGGGAAUAUUGCACAAAGGGCGCAAGCCUGAUGCAGCUAUGCCGCGUGUAUGAAGAAGGCCUUCGGGUUGUAAAGUACUUUCAGCGGGGAGGAAGGGAGUAAAGUUAAUACCUUUGCUCAUUGACGUUACCCGCAGAAGAAGCACCGGCUAACUCCGUG
rnacentral:rRNA from 1 species